ACCGGUACUCCUCUCAGGUUCUGGUACACAACACUCAAAAUCUUACUUUUGCAGAUUUCAGUGUCCAAACUCCAACUCUCACAGCUCCGAGUCCGUUUUCGCGUCUAUUUCGCGCCAAAACGACUCCGAGUCGUCCCGACACUCUACAGAUGUGUCGACAAGCCACUAAUGCUGUAGUCAGUCAGACAGCUAAGCCCCAGAGACACUUCAGAUACUAAUCACGGUUACGG
rnacentral:lncRNA from 1 species